GCCCAUAUGGCGCAACGGUUAGCGCGUGUGGCUGUUAACCACAAGGUUCUUGGUUCGAAUCCGAGUAUGGGCG